CAGCGUCAGAUGUGUAUAAGAGACAGGUGAGUCAUCGAAUCUUUGAACGCAGAUUGCGCCCUUUGGUAUUCCGAAGGGCAUGCCUGUUUGAGUGUCUUAUAAACCUCACCUCUACUGUUUUUCAUUAAACAUGUGGACUGGUGCUUUGGGUGUUGCCGUUUACUCUGGCUCGCCUUAAAUGUCUAAGUGGAAUGCGUAAUAAGUUCUUUCGCAACCCUCCACUCUAAUAACACACUUUAUACUCUGACCUCAAAUCAGGUAGGACUACCCGCUGAACUUAAGCAUAUCAAUAAGCGGAGG
rnacentral:misc_RNA from 1 species